ACAGCACCUGAUCUCCCCUUUAUAUACUAAACGACUAUACUAUCCAAGUAUGAGGGUUUGUUCCCUCUCUCAGCUAUCUAAAAAUCCCCAAAAGGAAAAUGUAAGCAUUUUUUACUAAUUUGACCCAAAAUAAUUUCAGCAUUACUUGUUAUCUUCAGCAACGUUUUGCUAUAUGGCCCGUGUUAAAGAUCUAAAAAAUAUGGAAAUCUAGCCCUCUGUCAACUAACACAAACUUCUCUCUUUCUCUUUCUCUAAUCUUUUAGAUAGAAUUCUCUUAUUUUCUCUUCUUCAUUUAGAGGCUUUCCUUCAGUUUUUGCUGCAUUAGUUGAUUAUUUCUUACCCCUUCUGAGGAGAGGACGACCUUGGGUCUUUCUCACUCGAAGAGUGAGUUUCACCCUCCCACCUCCGAAAAAGAUCUUGGUCUAUCUCUCCCCCCAUUGAGCUAGUGAUUCCCUUUUUCUAUUAUGUAUCAAUUGUUCUAAGUUUUGGUUUGGUCUAAAGAUGUCUUGUGUUUUCUCUGGCCUCUAAUUCUAAUGAUGACACUCUUGAAGAGGCAUUGUAGUUGUGAGCUAUUGUGAGUUGCCACUGCUCAAAGAAAAUGGUCGGCGACUGUUGGUUUUGAUGGUGCUUUUCGUUGCACGGUGCUUAUACUUGGUUGGUGUUAAAUUUGGAAAGAGUGCCUAAAACUCUUACAAGAGACAUAUAACCCAUGUCUCAAAUCAGUGUAGAAUUCAACGGUUGGAAUUCCAAACUUGCGAAUUGGAAAAUCAUAACUGCUUACUUUAUGGGAAAAGGAAAGAAAAAAUUGAGAUGAUCUUUAUUGAAAGGAACUUGUGUUUAUAUAUAGAUAUCGGAAUCAUAUGAAAGCUAACAAACUAACAGAAUUGAUUGUAUAGUUGUAUCCUUCUUCUAACUAUUGGAACUUUCUAGGCCAUUAUAUUCAUAAAUACAAAACAACAUCAUUUCUUUCUUUUCUUGUGCUUUGAACGAUGUCUUAUUCCCUUGCUUCACUUGCACCCCCAUCAAGAUGCAGAUGCCCUAAUUUGAGGCAAUUCCAUCUUGGAUAAUAGGAACUAAAACUACGUCGAUCCGAUGGGUUUUGUGAAAAGGUCGACGAGCUGAUGAUGGGAAGGAACAUGCACAGUUGAAAUAAACCCUUUGUGAGCGAAUCUCGGAUAACAUGGCAAUCAAUCUCCACAUGCUUUGUUUUUUUCGUGAAGACUAGAAUUUGCGGCCAUAUGUUGGGCGGCGCAAUUGUCACAAAACAACGAAAUCGAUAGUGAUGGGAAAAUCUAAAACUCCUGUAACAGAUAAGUGAUCCAUUAUAGCUCGCAAACCGUAAGUGCCAUGCUGCGAUAUUCAGCUUGACUGACUGUGUUUUUUUUUUUUGUUUUCCAAGAGAUGAGUGAAGGUUCGAGAAAUAUACAGAAGCAGGUGAGUGAUUUUCUUGUGGUAGGACAUGCAGCCCAAAUGGCGUUAGAAAAAGCACUUAGCUUGAAGUCUGAUUGAGCUGGGAAAAACAAUCCAUAAGCUGGUCAACCUUUUAACUAUCUCAGAACAUGGAAAGCGGCAUCCCAAUGUGGUUGGUGAGGCUCUUGCAUGUACUGGCUUAAUUGCUGGGUUGCGUAUGUGAUGUCCGGUCUUGUGAUUCCGAAGUAAAGUAAUCGACAUAUCAAUCUCCUGUAGCUUUCUGGGUCCUUAAGUGGUUCUCUGGUACUGUUGUCAAGUUUUAAAUCUUGGGGUAGGGGAAACUCAGAGGGUUUGACUUCUAUAUAACUAGUAUCUUGUAAAAUAUCUAACACCAAUUUUCUUUGAUUGAGGAACAAACCCGAUGAAAAACGAGCAACUUCCAGGCCUAGGAAGUACCGUACAAACCCUAGGUCUUUGAUGGUGAACAAUUUGUCAAGUGGUCAAAGACAGACUGGGUGAAGCUGUACUUCUGUAAACUCUGGAGUGCGGAAUAAAAGCCACAUACGACUGAAUUUGUGAGCCAGGGCAACAAGUUUGCAGACAUCUGCUAGCUUCUAGGAAUGAAUCAAUCGGAAAGGAUAUCGACGGUAACUUGCUUAAAGCAAAGCAAACUCAUUGACGGAGCAGAAGAUUCCUGCUCAAAUGGCGCGACUUCAAGCGGGGAGACUCGGCUUGUUUUCUCUUUCUGAAGACCAGCUUGCUUCUCAAUCACUUGCUGCUGUGCCAGUAUCAACUUUCACCUCAUUCCAUAUGAGGAUAUACCAGAAGAUCUAAUUGGGCCAACCAGGAGCUUUAAAACUUCCAAAAUCCAAACUAAACAGGGUUUCACGAGCAUCAUCCUCUAUUGAAGGAGCUAUUACAUUAGCAUUGAUAUCUCUUGCGAUGUAACAACAAUUUCUCUAAUUAUGUAUGAAUUAAAGUGUACAACAGUUG